GUGAACUGGAAAGAAAAAAAAAUCCAGUAUGCUGAAUGGCAUAUCUGAUUCGUCUGAGAAGCCAAAGAAAAUGUUUGCCAAAAAGCCAAAGUAGAAAGCCGCUGAGCAGAGCAUAUACAUUUGGUACCUACAAACUGAUACCCUUGGUUUUUCAGAACUGCAUUUGGCAGAAAGGUGAACAGAAAGUUCCAAAUUUGGUCUCUUGAUUGAGGCCGUGUUUAGUUGGGGAAUUUGGGAGGUGCCAAAUUACUGUUACAGCACUGUAGCACACUGUAGCGUUUCGUUUGUAUUUGUGAAUUAUUGUCCAAAUAUUGACUAAUUAGGCUCAAAAGAUUCGUCUCGCAAAGUACAACAAAACUGUGCAAUUAGUUUUUAAUUUCAUCUACAUUUAGUACUCCAUGCAUGUACCGCAAGUUUGAUAUGAUGGGAAAUCUUCUUUUUGCAUAGUGUCAAAGUUGGGAGUUGGGAGUAACUAAACAUGGCCUGAGUGGAGGCAACUAACUGAAAUAAAAAAGCACAGAGAUUCUCCCAGAAUUCGCAGAUUGCUUUGCUUGCUGGCUCUGAACUCUGAACAUAACGAGAAAGUCCAGUCCCAAAAGCAUCAACUUGGAGUACAUCAGCGCACCUUCCCCAAAAAUUCGUAAACAAAACCCAUAGCCACAAAUCCAAGGUACUGAAAGAAUCUUGAGGCCAGAGAAGAAGACUCGAGAAAGACGCGUCUUGCCACCGAAUAAAAUUAAGGACACAAGAACCCCCAAAAAAAAUAGUAGAAAAGAAAAAAAGGAGCGCAAUUUUGGAACCGACAAUCCCAAUUGAUCUGGUGGAAUCGGCUCG
rnacentral:lncRNA from 1 species